rfam:Gossypium hirsutum cultivar TM-1 chromosome 18, whole genome shotgun sequence
AGUCCGUGGUGUGGGCAUUUCUGAAUUAACGUUUUAAAACGCUCCCAUGCUUCAUGAAAACUUUCCCCCUCUAGUAGUUUGAACAUCAAAAUUUCCCUUCUUAGUUG